UACAGAGGUCCCAAGCGUUGUUCGGAUUCACUGGGCGUAAAGGGUGCGUAGGCGGUCGGGUAAGUCUGAUGUGAAAUCUCCAAGCUUAACUUGGAAAUGGCAUCGGAUACUAUUCGGCUCGAGGAAUGGAGGGGAGACUGGAAUACUUGGUGUAGCAGUGAAAUGCGUAGAUAUCAAGUGGAACACCAGUGGCGAAGGCGACCACCUGGACAGAGACUGACACUGAGGCGCGAAAGCGUGGGGAGCAAACAGG
rnacentral:rRNA from 1 species